rnacentral:rRNA from 1 species
ACAGCAGCAGCCACGGGAAUACGUAGGUGGCAAGCGUUGUCCGGAAUUAUUGGGCGUAAAGGGCUCGCAGGCGGUUUCUUAAGUCUGAUGUGAAAGCCCCCGGCUCAACCGGGGAGGGUCAUUGGAAACUGGGAAACUUGAGUGCAGAAGAGGAGAGUGGAAUUCCACGUGUAGCGGUGAAAUGCGUAGAGAUGUGGAGGAACACCAGUGGCGAAGGCGACUCUCUGGUCUGUAACUGACGCUGAGGAGCGAAAGCGUGGGGAGCGAACAGGAUUAGAGACCCCGGUAGUCCCUGUCUCUUAUAC